GGGUGGUAAUGCCGGAUGAUGCUUCACACCGCAUGGUGUGUUGGGAAAGCCUUUGCGGCAUGGGAUGGGGUCGCGUCCUAUCAGCUUGAUGGCGGGGUAACGGCCCACCAUGGCUUCGACGGGUAGCCGGCCUGAGAGGGCGACCGGCCACAUUGGGACUGAGAUACGGCCCAGACUCCUACGGGAGGCAGCAGUGGGGAAUAUUGCACAAUGGGCGCAAGCCUGAUGCAGCGACGCCGCGUGAGGGAUGGAGGCCUUCGGGUUGUAAACCUCUUUUGUUAGGGAGCAAGGCUCUUUGUGUUGAGUGUUCCUUUCGAAUAACCACCGGAUAACUACGCGCCAGCAGCCGCGGUAAU
rnacentral:rRNA from 1 species